CACAAACUCAAUAUGCAGGUUUAAACGCAGAGCAUCCCUCUUCACGCUGCCCCUCAUUCCUUUCUCUUUGGCUUAGACGCAGAGCAUCCCUUUUCUCUCAAUCUUACUCUCUUUGUUCAUAGCCUUUGCUGGCUCCAGUCUUGACCUCUAUUUUAUAAUCAAUGAUAUCCAACACAUGAUGGUCCAAUUUUGGAAAUGAAAUUUAGUCCUGAUGGGCAGUAUCUUGCAAGUGCUAGUGAAGAUGGGAUUGUGCAAUUGUGGUAGGUGGUGAAGGAUGAGAGAUCUAAUGAACUUGACAUUCUAGAAAUAGACCCAUCCUGCUUAUAUUUCACAGUGAAUCAUCUCUCUGAAUCGAAACCACUCUUUGCUAAUAAAGAGAAAAUGUGUAAAGUGAGCAGCCUGAGGAAAUCAUUAGACACAACAUGCGUAAUUUUCCCCCCUAAUGUUUUCCAGAUUCUGGAGAAACCAUUGCCCGAGUUCUGCGGGCACAGUGGUGAUAUAUUGGAUCACUCAUGGUCUAGGAAUAAUUAUUUGCUCUCAUCAUUAAUCAACCAUACCGUUCGUUUGUGGCAAGUGGUAUGUGAUCAUUGACUCAAAGUGUUUACACAUAGUAAUUAUGGUGAGCUCAUUGAUGUUUCAUUGUUUCAACCAAAAAUCUAUUUUGUUAGUUAAGGAACCAUCCAAGGUUGGAUAAAUGUUGGAGCAGUAUCCCGAUGUUAUUGUUUUAUUAUGCUAGAGUUAUUGUUUCUGAUUUUUAAGUUAUGCUGUGAUGCAAUGACCUAUGUUCAAUUUAACCCUAUUUAUGGUAAUUACUUUUGUAAGGUU